ensembl:antisense Gm13068 predicted gene 13068
NNNNNNNNNNNNNNNUGCUCCCACCUUGAUGAUAAUGGACUGAACCUCUGAACCUUCUACACAGUGACAAAUGACAAAGCCAACAACUGUUCUACUGCUCCAGGAGAAAAGAGAACUACAUACCGUGUGGGUAAGCGAUGCAGGAGGCACAUCCCUUAGAAACAGCAGCAGCUGCCAUGAGUCCAAAGAAGCCAGAGGAACUUUUCUCAGCUCCAUCUGUGGAGGAGACGAUCGGAGCGUCUUUCAAACACUUCUUUAAGCUCUCAUAAAUAGCAAAGCAGAUGAUUGUCUCCGAGAUCCCAGCGUAGGAGGCGGUCAGCCCUCUAUAGAAGCCGCGGACGCCUUCUGUCUGGUAGACACGCCGAGCACACUGGAGUGUGUUCAUCUGCUUGCAGCCCCUCACCCUGUCGGAGGAUCAACAAUGCGCACUGAGAGACGUACCACACCAAGUCAUAAAGGGCAUCAGCCAUGACACAGAAACCACACAGGAGAAGAAACCUGUCCUUCUUGUUCUGAGGCCCCCUGACCUCUGGCCCACUGUGAGGCCAGUUCAAUUAGCU